rnacentral:rRNA from 1 species
CCUACGGGAGGCUGCAGUGGGGAAUAUUGGACAAUGGGGGGAACCCUGAUCCAGCCAUGCCGCGUGUGUGAAGAAGGCCCUCGGGUUGUAAAGCACUUUCAGUGAGGAAGAACGCCUGGUGGUUAAUACCCAUCAGGAAAGACAUCACUCACAGAAGAAGCACCGGCUAACUCCGUGCCAGCAGCCGCGGUAAUACGGAGGGUGCGAGCGUUAAUCGGAAUUACUGGGCGUAAAGCGCGCGUAGGUGGCUUGAUAAGCCGGUUGUGAAAGCCCCGGGCUCAACCUGGGAACGGCAUCCGGAACUGUCAUGCUAGAGUGCAGGAGAGGAAGGUAGAAUUCCCGGUGUAGCGGUGAAAUGCGUAGAGAUCGGGAGGAAUACCAGUGGCGAAGGCGGCCUUCUGGACUGUCACUGACACUGAGGUGCGAAAGCGUGGGUAGCAAACAGGAUUAGAUACCCCAGUAGUC